rnacentral:rRNA from 1 species
AGUGAACGCUGGCGGUAGGCCUAACACAUGCCAGUCGAACGGCCGCACAGUAAGAGCUUGCUCUUACGGGUGGCGAGUGGCGGACGGGUGAGGAAUACAUCGGAAUCUACUUUUUCGUGGGGGAUAACGUAGGGAAACUUACGCUACUACCGCAUACGACCUACGGGUGAAAGCAGGGGAUCUUCGGACCUUGCGCGAUUGAAUGAGCCGAUGUCGGAUUAGCUAGUUGGCGGGGUAAAGGCCCACCAAGGCGACGAUCCGUAGCUGGUCUGAGAGGAUGAUCAGCCACACUGGAACUGAGACACGGUCCAGACUCCUACGGGAGGCAGCAGUGGGGAAUAUUGGACAAUGGGCGCAAGCCUGAUCCAGCCAUACCGCGUGGGUGAAGAAGGCCUUCGGGUUGUAAAGCCCUUUUGUUGGGAAAGAAAAGCAGCAGAUUAAUACCCCGCUGUUCUGACGGUACCCAAAGAAUAAGCACCGGCUAACUUCGUG